rnacentral:sRNA from 3 species
UCGAAUCCUGCACGACCCACCAAUAUACAAGGUGGUAACUGGUAGAGAACGUGAAGGUUAACGUUGCUUUAGCAACGGCCCGAAGGGCGAGGCGAAGCCGAGUCAUCCUGCACGACCCACCA